AGAUUGUGAUAUCGGCAUUUCUUUAAUAAGUCCUUGAAUCUCUCCCACGCCUCAAACAAUGAUUCUGUGUCUAACUGUGCAUAAGCGGAAAUCUCCUAACACAACUU